rfam:Puccinia triticina 1-1 BBBD Race 1 supercont2.829, whole genome shotgun sequence.
GCGUCUGUAGCCUAGUUGGUAAAGGCAGCACUCUAGUAUGUGUCUCAGCAUAGCUGACACAGCAGGCAUUCAGUUGUUGCACACAGCCCGCAGCAACACCCAAGCCAAGAGGACCUUCUUUACUUGGGUUUUUAUGCGGGCUGCAUUCAACAGCAAAUUACCUGCUGUGUAAGGUCGUGAGUUCAAUUCUCACCAGAUACA